rnacentral:rRNA from 1 species
GAUGAACGCUAGCUACAGGCUUAACACAUGCAAGUCGAGGGGAAACGACAUCGAAAGUUUGCUUUUGAUGGGCGUCGACCGGCGCACGGGUGAGUAACGCGUAUCCAACCUGCCCAUCACUUGGGAAUAACCUUGCGAAAGUAAGACUAAUACCCAAUGAUAUCCCACGAAGGCAUCGGAAUGGGAUUAAAGAUUUAUCGGUGAUGGAUGGGGAUGCGUCUGAUUAGCUUGUUGGCGGGGUAACGGCCCACCAAGGCAACGAUCAGUAGGGGUUCUGAGAGGAAGGUCCCCCACAUUGGAACUGAGACACGGUCCAAACUCCUACGGGAGGCAGCAGUGAGGAAUAUUGGUCAAUGGGCGAGAGCCUGAACCAGCCAAGUAGCGUGCAGGAAGACGGCCCUAUGGGUUGUAAACUGCUUUUAUAAGGGAAUAAAGUGGGUCACGUGUGACUUUUUGCAUGUACCUUAUGAAUAAGGACCGGCUAAUUCCGUG